UAUCCAAAAUUAAAUUUCUUGUUGCUAUUCUAUGAUGAUUCUGUGCUGAUUUUUCAUUUAACAAAACUGAGCGCAUCUCUUCUAUUUCAGCAUUUUGUAGCACGUUCAUUAAUAAUUACUCUAAUAAUAAACUUCACAUUUUGCCAUCAUUCUACUUUGACUUAGUAAGAAGUGUAACAUUCUGCCUCUUUACCAACAGUGCAGCCAUAAAGAAGAGCAUCAACAUGAGAUAACUUAUCCACGUACACACCAACGCACAUCUUCGCUAGCCAUCUCUCAUAGACCUACUUCAAAUAUUUAUUGAGCAAUGCUUUGAUGCUGGACUUUAAGUCAUGGGGAUACAAGGUGACACUGACCUUGAGGAAUGAACUCAUAUCUGUGAUAAAAAUCAUGAGGGACAAGUCACAGAGAUGGCAUUUGGCUCUGCUUCCUCGGGGAAUUGUUCACAGCACAGAAUUAUCACACAGUUUAACACAGCUGGCAGUCUGGGCUCAAGAGGAAACAGAAAAAGAUUGGAGAGGAUAA
rnacentral:lncRNA from 1 species